CAAGUCGCCGGCUCCACGCAUGGCCGACUGAAGCAGACAGUCUGUUGCGCUCAAUUUUUGAAUCUGUUUUAACUUUUUACAACUAUUUUAACACCCAGUUCUAAUCGAACAGUGCCUUAGUAAUGGAUGUGUCUUACGUGCAUGGAUUAAUUGACAUUUAGAACUAAAUUUUAAUGAAGAAAUAAGUGUGUGGUUUUUGUAGCAUCUUCCAUUGUGUCCUUUUGGUCAACGAUUGAAGAUAAUUUAGUGAUACUGAAGUGCUCUUAUAAAACAAAAAGUACAAAAUAAACAACGAUACGGUAUUUUAUGAAUUCUAUUUGUGUAUCAAACUCGGAAUCGAAACAAGCCACAAUUUAACCAUACAUUACGGGAUUAUCAACCUUCUUCUACGUUAUAUACGAUGA